AUUGAACGCUGGCGGCAGGCCUAACACAUGCAAGUCGAACGCGAAAGCUCCUUCGGGAGUGAGUAGAGUGGCGAACGGGUGAGUAACGCGUAGGAAUCUACCCAGGAGUGGGGGACAACCCGGGGGAAACUCGGGCUAAUACCGCAUACGCCCUACGGGGUAAAGCGGGGGACCUUUCGGGGCCUCGUGCUUCUGGAUGAGCCUGCGUCGGAUUAGCUUGUUGGUGAGGUAACGGCUCACCAAGGCGACGAUCCGUAGCUGGUCUGAGAGGACGAUCAGCCACACUGGGACUGAGACACGGCCCAGACUCCUACGGGAGGCAGCAGUGGGGAAUAUUGGACAAUGGGGGCAACCCUGAUCCAGCAAUGCCGCGUGUGUGAAGAAGGCCUGCGGGUUGUAAAGCACUUUCAAUCGUGAAGAAAAGCUUACGGUUAAUACCCGUAAGUAUUGACGUUAACGAUACAAGAAGCACCGGCUAACUCCGUG
rnacentral:rRNA from 1 species